ACAAUUAUUAACUGAUUGACAAUAGCGUAUACAAAGCAAUUAACACAGUGCUUGGCACAUGGAAAGAAUCCAGUGACUGUUAGCCACCAGUAUUAUGAUGAUGGCAAUGAUGAUGAUGUUAAUGGUGGCUGCUUUGUUAGCCUGAGUUCCAGAGUGAGGACACCAUGAAGUAAAGAUCUCAGCCGACACACAAUGGACAUAUAUUUCCUUAGAGUCUCAGGGAAGGCUUCUGGAAGAGGUGACAUCUAUACUGGGUGUAUUUUCAAGUGAAGAUACCGAGAGCCCAGUAUCACAGAGGAAGAAAGUACUGAUGGUGACACAGCAGGUAUUUUAGAAGUGGCGGCAGCUAUUUUAGACAGCGCUUUCCUAUGUUGUUCCUGUCACACCACAAAGAUGCCCAUUUUUUCCACCCACAAGAAAGCUGCCUUGGUCCUGGUACUCAAGGGCUCUAUGUUGCCUCCAUCAUAUCCAGAAUUAAUUCCACUAACACGUUCUUGCAUUCUUCGUCGGCACAGCGAGGGAGCUAACUGAAAGGCAUGUCGGCAACACUGGAAUCAUUCAUUGUCUUAAACGA